rnacentral:rRNA from 1 species
GACGAACGCUGGCGGCGUGCCUAAUACAUGCAAGUAGAACGCUGAAGGAGGAGCUUGCUUCUCUGGAUGAGUUGCGAACGGGUGAGUAACGCGUAGGUAACCUGCCUGGUAGCGGGGGAUAACUAUUGGAAACGAUAGCUAAUACCGCAUAAGAGUAGAUGUUGCAUGACAUUUGCUUAAAAGGUGCAAUUGCAUCACUACCAGAUGGACCUGCGUUGUAUUAGCUAGGUGGUGGGGUAACGGCUCACCAAGGCGACGAUACAUAGCCGACCUGAGAGGGGGAUCGGCCACACUGGGACUGAGACACGGCCCAGACUCCUACGGGAGGCAGCAGUAGGGAAUCUUCGGCAAUGGACGGAAGUCUGACCGAGCAACGCCGCGUGAGUGAAGAAGGUUUUCGGAUCGUAAAGCUCUGUUGUAAGAGAAGAACGAGUGUGAGAGUGGAAAGUUCACACUGUGACGGUAUCUUACCAGAAAGGGACGGCUAACUACGUG